AUCUUAUGAUUGUCAUUUGAAUUAUCAUGUGAAUAAUCAUUAUUAUUCGUGGU
rnacentral:antisense_RNA from 1 species